UCGUUUUCUGAACUGUCGAAGUUAUCAGUUUUACUUUUGUGGAAAUAUGGCCUACAAACGUUGAAAGCUUACAGUUCAGCAAAAUCUGACGAUCAUCCUUGACGUCGACGACAAUUUUAAUAUAAAUAUUUUCGCCAUGGCAAAGAAGUGCGCGAUUAAGCGCCGUCUACAUGUGCUGCUUAUUCAAAGAUGAUAAAUUUUUCUAACAAUUCUUAUGGAUCCAAAAAGGAGGAAUAAUCGUAUGUCUACAUUCAGUGACGGGAAAAUAUUUUUGUACUGUGGUUUCAACCACUGAGAAGUAGAAGCAUUCCUAUAAUCUGAAACCUAAGCUGCAAGAGGAGGUUCCUGAAAUCGCUUUGAAAAUCGACACAGAAAAUUUCAGUGCAUCGAAUGCACGAUGGAUCGCUUUAAAAAACACUAUUAUAUCUGCCGUUUCAAAGUGUAAGUGAAGGAAGUGAGGUCCUGAUUAUAGAAAUCGUAAACUAUGGAAAGAACAUUACAUUGCCACGAUCGACACGGCGUUGUGACCCCAGAUACAUUUUCAGCGCUUAUGAAACAGGCGGCUACAUCCUGCAAAACCAUAUUCCAUUAAGGCAAAAAAAUACCAGGGAGAUAAAACAAAAUAGAGAAACGUUGACGACGCUGUUGGGUAAAAAUAGUGAUGGAAGUGAAAAGGCAUUUUGAUACCAAGAUGAGUGCAGCAGGAAGAAACUAGACUUAUUAUUGGCAUAUGCCCAGUAUAUCUCACAGAUACAUAAAAUGAGGAAUGUAAAUGUUGUGUAUCUUCCUCGCACUUCACAAGUCACCUACAGCCUCUGCACUUGGGCAUAAUUUAUUUAUUUAUUUAGCAGCUUAUGAUGUACAUCUACGGAGUAAGUCCAAGUACAUAUUUGCUUUGUCAGUUCUCCAAUAAAAUACAUUCCUUUUACUGAUUC